AUGCAUGGGGACCCAGCUUCUUCAUGGUAUUCUUUACAACCCAUCUUCUUACUUUUUUAUCAGAGAUCAUUAUCUGCUGAUAUAAAUUAGUUGGGACAGAUACUUGGGACCUGUUAGAUAUUAAUGUCAUUUGAGGGGAAAUAACUAGGUGGAGUUCUGUUCAUAACAUGAGUAAUUUCUGAGUAGUAAUUUUCUAAACAACAUCAGAAACCACCAGAUGAUAACUUUAAAAAAGAAAAAAAUGCACACACAAUGUAUUUUUAUAUAAGAAUGUCCUUGGAAAUCACAUGUCUGCUGAAUUACAUAGACUACUGAGAUAAGUUUUUCAAAUUUUCAUUUAAAAUAAUAUUUUAACUAUAUUCUCUAAUGAAUUCCCUACUUACCCUAAAUGCAUCUGCAAAAUAAUAUUUCAUUAUCUUUUCCUGAAUAGCUAAGCAGUCUUUUUUAAUAUAUAAAUUGAAAUAAAUCCAGGAUAUGAGAAUGGACACAGAUUACAUUUUUUCCUUAUCCCAUCUCUUUAUUCAUGCACGUACCAUAUGAAAUUCUUACAACAUGUUUAAAUUAUUUAUGGCAGUGUUUUUUUUUUUUUUAACCUGUGGGUCAUGACCUGCCUAGGGGUCGAGUGAUCCAUUUACUGAGGUCACAUACAACCAUCUGAGAACAAAUAUAUGUACCUUACAAUUCAUAAUAGUAACAUUUACAAUCAUAAAGUAGCAUUGAUAAUAAUUUCAUGGUUGGUUGACGACAAAGAAAGAAAAUAUACUAAAGGGAUAUAGCAUUAGGAAGGUUAAACAUCACUGGUUUAUCGUCUUUACUGCCUUACUUGGUACUUGGUUGCGAUAUUAGCCAGGUUCUAUAACUGAUGGGUCAAAUAUACCCAUGCAUGUUAUGUUAAAUAUUUUAAAUGGUUUUGUUAAAUUAGUUUACUUAGUACUGUGGGAAUAGUUCAAUAGGUGGUUCAGUUCAUGUUAGAAACAUGAAAAAGCUGGUUCUAAUCUCAUUAACAUCAGUGAAGGAGCCAUUACUAAUAGCAAUGGGUUAUAUUAACUUAGCAAUGAAGGAAAAUACUUCUCUUUCUUCUAUUUAUUUUUUUUUUAUUUAGGCUGUUUCCAGAAGGUGAUGCCCACAUUUGGUGUGGGUCUCCCACAUCACAAAAUGUGAACAAGACAGUUCCACAGAGAUAGCCUCACAUGUCAUCCUGAAGGAGAUAGUGUCCCAAAUGAGGCUGCCUGAUCAGGGACUUCUAAGCUAUGCUAAGUUGUCAUUCAAAAAAAUCAAUCACUACUUUUGCCAGGACAAUUUGAUUAACAAAGAUAGAUAGUGGAAAAUAGAAGAAUCAAAAAUAGGAGAUGAGAUUAAAUAAGUAAUAGAUGAAGAAAUGGUCAAAGCAAGAAUAGGACAAAAGAACAAGAUAUAAAGGGAAAAGCAAAGUUAAAGCACAGGACCAGAAGUGUUCUAUGGCCAGUAGACCCACAUCCAUAUGUCCUAUGUCCAGUAGAAGUGUAUCGAUAUGUCCUAUGGACAGUAGAUUCACAUCCAUAUGUCCUAUGGCCAGUAGAAGUACAUCCAUAUGUCCUAUGGACAGUAGACUCACAUCCAUAUGUCCUAUGGCCAGAAGAAGUACAUCCAUAUGUCCUAUGGACAGUAGAAGCACAUCCAUAUGUCCUAUAGCCAGUAGAAGCACAUCCAUAUGUCCUAUGGCCAGUAAACAUACAUCCAUAUGUCCUAUGGACAGUAGAAGCACAUUCAUAUGUCCUAUGGACAGUAGACAUACAUCCAUAUGUCCUAUGGCCAGUAGAAGCACAUUCAUAUGUCCUAUGGACAGUAGACAUACAUCCAUAUGUCCUAUAGCCAGUAGAAGCACAUCCAUAUGUCCUAUGGCCAGUAGAAGUGUAUCCAUAUGUCCUAUGGACAGUAGACCCAAUCCAUGUGUCCUAUGGACAGUAGACUCAUAUCCAUAUGUCCUAUGACUAGUAGACCCAUAUCCAUAAAUCUUAUGGCCAGGAGACCCACAUCCAUAUAUUCAUGACAAAUGCUCUAUUUUCAUCUGCUUUUUAAUGUCUCCACUCCCUCUUUUCAAUUUUAAACAGGGUUUCAUUUUGCCAUGCAGUUGGCCUUAAACAUAUUCUGCCUCAAACUCCACAGAAAUGAGGUGAGUGAUAAAUAUGUUGUGCCACACUUUUUUUUUAAUUCUUUCAAUUUAAAUAUGAGAUACUUUUAACUUAGGGAAUAUAACUCUUCUUUUUCACCAUUACAUUUAGAUUUCAUAAUAUAUUAGGAAUAGUUGUUUCGAUAUGACUUGAUACAAUAGUCAAGAUACUUGUAAUGUCCAAAUGCAAUGUGAAAUAAAGCUAGCUUUCUUUUUGCUUUAAUUUGUUUCUACAUAUUAAUGUCUUCAUUGUAAUCUACUUAUGGCUGAGUAGCCAAUUAACUUAGAUCAUUAAAAGAUUUAACAUUUACCUAUUUUUAAAAAAAUCUCUUCUCCCACAUACCCACACAGAGUCUAUUUUCUCCAUUGUAGGCAAAGAUAGUCUUAAAAACAAAGCUACAUUCAUUAUGCUAUUUCUUCCUCCCUCAUCUAGUGGCUUCCAGUCAUAUCGGGAAUAAAAUGUAAACUUUGCUCACACCAGGAGUUCUUACCUGAUGCAUCAUCUGACAAAAUCUUUAACUUAAUUUCUUCUAUUCAGAGAUAGACGUGUCUCCUUUCCAUCAAUUCAUAAUAAUGACGUUAAUGGUCUGCUGGGAAUGCAAAUGCUGCUGAUUCAUGGUUUACCAGCCUUAGAAACUUUAUCCCCUUAUUUACAACCCUGCUAUAGUACCAUCUCCUUUGAAGAGCUGUCCCAAAGCCUCUGUAAACCAUAGCCCUUCUUUGCUGUGCCUCUAUUUAUUUUAAUGUACCCAGCUUGUUUCUUCUGCAAUGUUUAGUGUGUGUAUGUGUGUGUGUUUCUUUCAUUAAGAUGGAAGCUCUCUGAAGAAUUGUAUAUUCAAUGGCCCACUGAUUUGCAUUGUGGUCUGUUUCAGCUCUGAUGUUAAAUCUUUGUUGUUAGUGGAUAGAGGGAGGUAAAUUUUACUAUCUCAUGUUAAUUUCUACAAAAAUGCAAUCAAAACAAAAUAAAAGAGAUGUACUCCAAAUCCUUAGAAUCCAAGU
rnacentral:lncRNA from 1 species